rnacentral:rRNA from 1 species
UAGAGGAAGUAAAAGUCGUAACAAGGUUUCCGUAGGUGAACCUGCGGAAGGAUCAUUAAUGAGUUUUGAACGNAGCUGUUNUGGCCUUUNGAGACAAGUGAACGCUUCACUCAAUCCAUCUCACACCUGUGCACCUUUAGGGAAAACAAUGAGGAGAGAUGUCAAAGUUGGUUUAACGACGAUGAUUCCUCAAUGUUUUCUUUUCUACACAAAUCAUAGUUAUUAGAAAGUGUUGUUUUUGCUUCAUGCAAUAUUAUACAACUUUCAGCAACGGAUCUCUUGGCUCUCGCAUCGAUGAAGAACGCAGCGAAAUGCGAUAAGUAAUGUGAAUUGCAGAAUUCAGUGAAUCAUCGAAUCUUUGAACGCACCUUGCACUCCUUGGUAUUCCGAGGAGUAUGCCUGUUUGAGUGUCAUGAAUUUCUCAACCUCACAGUUUCAUUACUUUAUGAGGCUUGGAUAUGGAAGUGUGCUGGCNUUCAGCCGGCUCUUCUUAAAUACAUGAGCUACUGGUUUGUAGGUUGGCUCAGAGUGUGAUAAGUAUCUACACUUGGUGGCUGCUUGCUUUGAAUGUAGCUUAUAAUCGACCUUUGGACACAUUNCUUAAGAUCUGACCUCAAAUCAGGUAGGACUACCCGCUGAACUUAAGCAUAUCAAUAA